GACCUGCUAAGAAGCUUGAGCUUCAAGGCCCUCCUGAACUGACCCUUCCCAAAGCCCCAUUAUUUCAGAUUUAUAAUUGUAUGUACUUUUCCUUACAAGGCGGCCCUCAAAGUGUAUAAUCUCCAAGCUCCAUGAAACCAGGAUCUGCCUUGGGAUGCAGGUAUCAAGGAAACUGCCAGUCCUGACACUUGUUUGCUGUGUGACGCUGCUUCACUGACUUAACCUCUCUGAACAACCACUUCCUCGUUCUGCUGUCAUAUCUUCCCAUUGUGAGGCUCAUCUUAGACAAUCUGUGAGCCAGCCAGAAUUCUAACAUGCUUUCUGAAUGCCCCGUGGGGAAGUCCAAACCCAGUGGCACCAGGUGACAGGAGAGAAUGAGGAGCUUGGGACAAGGGCUGCUGGAGAAAGUGACAUGUGAGCUAAACCCGGCAAGUCGCGUCUAAUGUGGUCACCAGGUGCUGAAGGGACGAUCAGUAGCAGAGAGAAGAGCAUGCUAAGACCUGGAGGGGGGGUGUGUGUGUAUAGGUGUUUGUGUAGGAGGGUGCAGGUUGUGGGUCGGAAGGACUUGCUGGUUGUCUGUCUACCUAGAGCCUCAGGCUCUCUGUGCUCUCACCCUUCCCCACCCCAGAGGGGGCAUACAGGAGCCGCUCAAUCCAUAUUUCCGUGGUUCUGGUGAUGAUUGAUGUGUGCCUGGAUAAGAAGGCAGGGAGAGUGUUUCAGGAUGGAAACACAGCCCGGGCAAAGAUGCAGAACCGUGGUGGAGUUUAGAGAACAGAAGCUUCUCUGUGGUUGGAAUAUGGGUUUGUGGGGGCAGGAUGGAGAGCUGAUGACCCCACUUGCAAGGUGUAAAACAGCAUGGCCUGGGCUGUUCGCCCACGAGAUACUCCUGGAGCCAGUGAGGUCUGUGUGAGAGAGACCCUCGGUGCCCUCUGCAGGGACAGCAGAGGGCUUUGGACAGAAUCAGGUUGCAGGAUUGCUGGGGCCGGGCUGGUGGGAAGGUACAGUAAGACAGGACAGACUGGCCUCCCCUACAGCCCUAUUCAGGUUAUGGCUUCUCCACUCCCACUCAGCCAACCCGCCACCUGCUUAGGGCAAGGUGAGGAGCAGUCUGGAGGCACAGGGAUAGACAAAAGGUUUCAGAUACUCAGGACAAUACCAGAAUUCAGUCUCAACCGGCAGGUGGCCUCUCCUGUGGCCUGGGGCUAUGGAGGAGUCACCGAGGGAGCAGACCUGGGACUCCUGCAGAGGGAAGACAUUCUGUAUGUGUAUAAUCUACAUCCCAACUUACCCUCUCCACAGCUCUCCAGACCAAGCUGUGAUUUGGCCUCAGGGCAGUGAAGUCACUCACCCAGGGUCAUACAGCUUGUGAGUAACUAAGAGAGAACCCGGAUUCAUAUUCGAGGCCGUCUGUGCUCUCUGUGAUGUGGUGUUUGGAGUGGUGGGGAUCUGGAGCCGACGGCCAAGAAAGAAUUGUUGAGACGUCUUUGGUGCAAAAAGGCGGUUUUAUUAAAGCCCGGGGAUAGGUCCCGCGGGCAGCAGGUUGUAAGCAAAUUCAAUUUCACGUGCCAUUUCCUUCCUGCCUUUGUUCCGCACAUCACUACGGAGGGGAGGGUGGUGUUGGGGCUAUAGGCUUCUGGAGAUUAAGCUAUUGAUAAGAUUGCCUUUCUCUUGUCAUUUACUAAGCUAUUUGUAAACUGAUGGAGACUCGGGUCCUGUGAUCGCUAUCAGUUCAACCAUUUGUUUUCUGUCUUUUCCUUUGUUCUGGGGCAGCCAGGACUACCUGAGGAAUAUCACCCCUGUCCCACCUGGGGUGGGGUGCUUUGCCCUCAGCCCGCCUUAUGCUCCCUCAUCAUAUCCCCCCUGCAUAAUUUUGACCCUUAAGUCUUUACAGUUGCUGAAGGUGGAAGGUCUCAUCUUCUGUAGCUUCUUCCUGCUGAGUAGGGGUGUAGAGUUGUCCCUACCCGUGGGUCAAUAUUGGUCAGUCGGGGAAGGUGUAGAGAAGUUACGAGGGCGGAGGCAGCUGAAUCCAAUGUGGACAACAUGCCUGAACCUCCUGGAGGAGAAAGGAUCAUCUGUUAAUAUAAAUUGAGGAAAGGAGAAUGACAAAGAAAGGUACAACCAUCAAUUUUGUUUGAGGAGAAGUUUGGGAUCUUCCAUAGCUAUAAACUUUAUUCCUAUAAACGAAUAAGAAGGCACAUUUGUUUGCUCACUGGUUUCCUGUGAAGGAGUAAUAAAGAAGGCUUUAUUCUAGAUAUACAAGCCCAUGAAGAGAGCCCCUGUACUACGGCAGUGGGAGUACAUAAUAUGACCCGGUAGGGGCCCUUCCACUCUGGGGUUAAAUCCCCUUCUGUGUUAG